UCGGUGUGAGGCCCUCAACGUGUGCCCACCGCCACUCUGCACGACGCUGCGAACCUACCCUGAGUGCUGUGUCCGCUGGCUGACGGCCCGUCGGGCUCUGCGUGUGGGGAGGGUGUCCCGCUGAGCACAACCCACAUUGAAAUAAAAGUAACUGUCAAUGCUUGACACAAAGAAGCAGAAGAUAAAAAAGACAAUUUAAAUGGAAAGUGGAGCUCUUAAAUCACUUUCAAAGACCUACUUACCUAACAAUGAGUUCCAUGAAAUCUUGAGAGUUCAACCACAUGUGAAGAACACCAUGACCAG